UACGUAGGGUGCGAGCGUUAAUCGGAAUUACUGGGCGUAAAGUGUGCGCAGGCGGCCGAGCAAGUCGAGUGUGAAAGCCCCGAGCUUAACUUGGGAACUGCGCUCGAAACUACUUGGCUAGAGUGUGGCAGAGGGAGGUGGAAUUCCACGUGUAGCGGUGAAAUGCGUAGAGAUGUGGAGGAACACCGAUGGCGAAGGCAGCCCCCUGGGUCAAAACUGACGCUCAUGCACGAAAGCGUGGGGAGCAAACAGG
rnacentral:rRNA from 1 species